rnacentral:rRNA from 1 species
UACGUAGGGUGCAAGCGUUGUCCGGAAUUAUUGGGCGUAAAGAGCUCGUAGGCGGUUUGUCGCGUCUGCUGUGAAAACCCGAGGCUCAACCUCGGGCCUGCAGUGGGUACGGGCUGACUAGAGUGCGGUAGGGGAGACUGGAAUUCCUGGUGUAGCGGUGAAAUGCGCAGAUAUCAGGAGGACACCGGUGGCGAAGGCGGGUCGCUGGGCCGUAACUGACGCUGAGGAGCGAAAGCAUGGGGAGCGAACAGG